AACGCUAGCUACAGGCUUAACACAUGCAAGUCGAGGGGAAACGACAUCGGAAGCUUGCUUUUGAUGGGCGUCGACCGGCGCACGGGUGAGUAACGCGUAUCCAACCUGCCCAUCACUUGGGGAUAACCUUGCGAAAGUAAGACUAAUACCCAAUGACGUCUCUAGAAGACAUCUGAAAGGGAUUAAAGAUUUAUCGGUGAUGGAUGGGGAUGCGUCCGAUUAGGUAGUCGGCGGGGUAACGGCCCACCGAGCCGACGGUCGGUAGGGGUUCUGAGAGGAAGGUCCCCCACAUUGGAACUGAGACACGGUCCAAACUCCUACGGGAGGCAGCAGUGAGGAAUAUUGGUCAAUGGACGUAAGUCUGAACCAGCCAAGUAGCGUGCAGGAUGACGGCCCUAUGGGUUGUAAACUGCUUUUAUGCGGGGAUAAAGUGAGGGACGUGUCCCUUUUUGCAGGUACCGCAUGAAUAAGGACCGGCUAAUUCCGUGCCAGCAGCCGCGGUAAUACGGAAGGUCCGGGCGUUAUCCGGAUUUAUUGGGUUUAAAGGGAGCGUAGGCCGGCUUUUAAGCGUGUUGUGAAAUGCCGCGGCUCAACCGUGGCACUGCAGCGCGAACUGGAGGCCUUGAGUGCGCGGGAGGUAGGCGGAAUUCGUGGUGUAGCGGUGAAAUGCUUAGAUAUCACGAAGAACUCCGAUUG
rnacentral:rRNA from 1 species